UACGAAGGGGGCUAGCGUUGCUCGGAAUCACUGGGCGUAAAGGGUGCGUAGGCGGGUCUUUAAGUCAGGGGUGAAAUCCUGGAGCUCAACUCCAGAACUGCCUUUGAUACUGAAGAUCUUGAGUUCGGGAGAGGUGAGUGGAACUGCGAGUGUAGAGGCGAAAUUCGUAGAUAUUCGCAAGAACACCAGUGGCGAAGGCGGCUCACUGGCCCGGUACUGACGCUGAGGUGCGAAAGCGUGGGGAGCAAACAGG
rnacentral:rRNA from 1 species